rnacentral:rRNA from 1 species
AUUGAACGCUGGCGGCAUGCCUUACACAUGCAAGUCGAACGGCAGCACGGGUGCUUGCACCUGGUGGCGAGUGGCGAACGGGUGAGUAAUACAUCGGAACAUGUCCUGUAGUGGGGGAUAGCCCGGCUAAAGCCGGAUUAAUACCGCAUACGAUCUACGGAUGAAAGCGUGGGACCUUCGUGCCUCGCGCUGUAGGGUUGGCCGAUGGCUGAUUAGCUAGUUGGGGGGGUAAAGGCCUACCAAGGCGACGAUCAGUAGCUGGUCUGAGAGGACGACCAGCCACACUGGGACUGAGACACGGCCCAGACUCCUACGGGAGGCAGCAGUGGGGAAUUUUGGACAAUGGGCGAAAGCCUGAUCCAGCAAUGCCGCGUGUGUGAAGAAGGCCUUCGGGUUGUAAAGCACUUUUGUCCGGAAAGAAAUCCUUGGCCCUAAUACGGUCGGGGGAUGACGGUACCGGAAGAAUAAGCACCGGCUAACUACGUG